CCUACGGGAGGCUGCAGUGAGGAAUAUUGGUCAAUGGGCGCUAGUCUGAACCAGCCAUGCAGCGUGAAGGAUGACGGCCCUAUGGGUUGUAAACUUCUUUUGUAUGGGGGUAAACCCCAGUAUGUAUACUGCUUUGCAUGUACCUUACGAAUAAGGAUCGGCUAACUCCGUGCCAGCAGCCGCGGUAAUACGGAGGAUCCGAGCGUUAUCCGGAUUUAUUGGGUUUAAAGGGUGCGUAGGCGGGUUGAUAAGUUAGAUGUGAAAUGUUGCGGCUCAACCCUGAAAUUGCCGUUGAUACUGUCGUACUUGAGUACAGUAGAGGUAGGCGGAAUGCAUGGUGUAGCGGUGAAAUGCUUAGAUAUCACGCAGAACUCCGAUUGCGAAGGCAGCCUGCUAAACUAUAACUGACGCUGAUGCACGAAAGUGUGGGUAGCAAACAGGAUUAGAUACCCUAGUAGUC
rnacentral:rRNA from 1 species